rnacentral:rRNA from 1 species
UGCAUGGCUGUCGUCAGCUCGUGUCGUGAGAUGUUCGGUUAAGUCCGCUAACGAGCACAACCCUCGCUGUGUGUUACAAGUGUCACACGGAACUGCCGGUCAUAAACCGGAGGAAGGUGGGGAUGACGUCAAGUCAGCAUGGCCUUUAUAUCCUGGGCUACACACACGCUACAAUGGGAAGGGACAAUAGGUUGCGAAGCCGCGAGGCGGAGCCAAUCCAGCAAAACUUCCCUCAGUUCAGAUUGCAGGCUGCAACUCGCCUGCAUGAAGUUGGAGUUGCUAGUAAACGCAGGUCAGCCAUACUGCGUUGAAUACGUUCCCGGGGCUU